UGGGGAAUUUUGGACAAUGGGCGAAAGCCUGAUCCAGCAAUGCCGCGUGUGUGAAGAAGGCCUUCGGGUUGUAAAGCACUUUUGUCCGGAAAGAAAUCCUUGGCUCUAAUACAGUCGGGGGAUGACGGUACCGGAAGAAUAAGCACUGGCUAACUACGUGCCAGCAGCCGCGGUAAUACGUAGGGUGCAAGCGUUAAUCGGAAUUACUGGGCGUAAAGCGUGCGCAGGCGGUUUGCUAAGACCGAUGUGAAAUCCCCGGGCUCAACCUGGGAACUGCAUUGGUGACUGGCAGGCUAGAGUAUGGCAGAGGGGGGUAGAAUUCCACGUGUAGCAGUGAAAUGCGUAGAGAUGUGGAGGAAUACCGAUGGCGAAGGCAGCCCCCUGGGCCAAUACUGACGCUCAUGCACGAAAGCGUGGGGAGCAAACAGGAUUAGAUACCCUGGUAGUCCACGCCCUAAACGAUGUCAACUAGUUGUUGGGGAUUCAUUUUCCUUAGUAACGUAGCUAACGCGUGAAGUUGACCGCCUGGGGAGUACGGUCGCAAGGUUGAAACUCAAAUGAAUUGA
rnacentral:rRNA from 1 species